rnacentral:piRNA from 1 species
UGCAACAACAGUGCUACAAAUGGAGC